rnacentral:rRNA from 1 species
GAUGAACGCUGGCGGCGUGCCUAAUACAUGCAAGUCGAGCGAACAGACGAGGAGCUUGCUCCUCUGACGUUAGCGGCGGACGGGUGAGUAACACGUGGAUAACCUACCUAUAAGACUGGGAUAACUUCGGGAAACCGGAGCUAAUACCGGAUAAUAUAUUGAACCGCAUGGUUCAAUAGUGAAAGACGGUUUUGCUGUCACUUAUAGAUGGAUCCGAGCCGCAUUAGCUAGUUGGUAAGGUAACGGGUUACCAAGGCAACGAUGCGUAGCCGACCUGAGAGGGUGAUGGGCCACACUGGAACUGAGACACGGUCCAGACUCCUACGGGAGGCAGCAGUAGGGAAUCGUACGCAAUGGGCGAAAGCUUGGCGGAGCAAAGCCGCGUGGGUGAUGAAGGUCUUCGGAUCGUAAAACUCUGUUAUUAGGGAAGAACAAAUGUGUAAGUAACUAUGAACGUCUUGACGGUACCUAAUCAGAAAGCCACGGCUAACUACGUG